rnacentral:rRNA from 1 species
UGGGGAGGGAUCAUUU